rnacentral:lncRNA from 1 species
UACAAUGCCCUGCUACGGUAGCUCCUGAUGUUCUGCUACAGUGUCGAUCGAUUUUCUUGCUACAGUGUCGAUCGAUGCUACAGUGCGGUUGCUACAGUACCGUCGUUACUGUUCAUCCGUUUUUUUUUCUUUUUUUUUUGGUUUCAUAAAAAUAAAACAAAAAUCACUAACAAUCUAACAUAAACUAAAUGAAAUUACCUAAUAGUGGGUUGCCUCCCACUCAGCGCUUUGUUAUAGUCAUUUAGCUUGACUUUGGACAUCUGAUUUAGUCC